rnacentral:rRNA from 1 species
CCUACGGGCGGCAGCAGUGAGGAAUAUUGGUCAAUGGACGAGAGUCUGAACCAGCCAAGUAGCGUGAAGGAUGACUGCCCUAUGGGUUGUAAACUUCUUUUAUAUGGGAAUAAAAUUUUCCACGUGUGGGAUUUUGUAUGUACCAUAUGGAUAAGGAUCGGCUAACUCCGUUCCAGCAGCCGCGGUAAUACGGAGGAUGCGGUCGUUAUCCGGAUUGAUUGGGUUUAAAGGAUGCGUAGGGGGGCUUUUAAGUCAGCGGUAAAAAUUCGGGGCUAAACCCCGCCCGGCCGUUGAAACUGGGGGCCUUGAGUGGGCGAGAAGAAGGCGGAAUGCGUGGUGUAGCGGUGAAAUGCAUAGAGAUCACGCAGAACCCCGAUGGCGAAGGCAGCCUUCCGGCGCCCUACUGACGCUGAGGCACGAAAGUGCGGGGAUCGAACAGGAUUAGAUACCCUUGUAGUC